GAUGAACGCUGGCGGCGUGCCUAAUACAUGCAAGUCGAACGAAACUUCUUUAUCACCGAGUGCUUGCGCUCACCGAUAAAGAGUUGAGUGGCGAACGGGUGAGUAGCACGUGGGCAACCUGCCCAAAAGAGGGGGAUAACACUUGGAAACAGGUGCUAAUACCGCAUAACCAUAGUUACCGCAUGGUAACUAUGUAAAAGGUGGCUAUACUACCGCUUUUGGAUGGGCCCGCGGCGCAUUAGCUAGUUGGUAGGGUAAAGGCUUACCAAGGCAAUGAUGCGUAGCCGAAUUGAGAGGUUGAUCGGCCACAUUGGGACUGAGACACGGCCCAAACUCCUACGGGAGGCAGCAGUAGGGAAUCUUCCACAAUGGGCGAAAGCCUGAUGGAGCAACGCCGCGUGGGUGAAGAAGGUCUUCGGAUCGUAAAACCCUGUUGUUAGAGAAGAAAGUGCGUGAGAGUAACUGUUCACGUUUCGACGGUAUCUAACCAGAAAGCCACGGCUAACUACGUG
rnacentral:rRNA from 1 species